rnacentral:sRNA from 1 species
UGUUCCAGGAUUGAUGCGAUUGUCCCAUG